rnacentral:rRNA from 1 species
UGGCCGCAGAAUACUGUGCUAAGGUAGCAUAAUCACUUGUCUUAUUAUUAAAGACCAGAAUGAAAGGUUAAACGUGUAAGAUUCAUGCCCAAUUAAUCCUAUUAAAUUAUAAUAAGCAUAAAAAUAUUCUUAUAACAAAAAAAGACGACCAGACCCUGCCGAACUUAACUUAAGUUAAACUGGGGCAGUUAACUAAUAAACUCUUAAUUUACACUCUCUUAGACCAAGCCUUAAAAAGAUAAUCAAGUUACCGCAGGGAUAACAGCGCAAUUUUUCUUUCUAGCUCUCAUAUAAAGAAAAGAUUACGACCUCGAUGUUGAAUUAAUUUAUCUAGUAGAAGCAAAACUCUACAAGAAAGUCUGUUCGACUCUUAAUUUAUUACAUGAUUUG